AUGCAUGAAGUCCAUUCACAAGAUUUUAGCUUUACCAGGAGGUUUCACGGGUCAGAGACUGUUCUCAGAUACAGCAUUUAAAGGAAGAGCUUCAUUAGUGUCAUCCCCUGCCUGAGUCGCUCUUUGCUCAGAGCUGAUGAGAAGAGGGAUUCAGUGCUGUGUACUAGGUGCUACACUUGUAGGGGCAGAAUACAGUGUUCUGAGUGACAUGUGGUUGGGCCUUGAGUUUUAGAAGUCAGUUGCAAUGAAAAAUUUCAGAUGGCAUUGGCUCUUAAACAAGGCAGUUCUCCCAGCAAUGACCCAACUUAAAUAAAGUGUCUUAACCCAUGGUGCUUAUGAUUGAGGUCUGUUAUUAAGGAAAGCUCAAUGUAGAACAAGUAAUUGAAUUAAUUACCAGUCCUGAAAAGAUUAAGCUUUGUAUUUGGGGAUGAGAAUCACUAAGCAUGUCUGUCUGUCUGUCUGUCUACCAUCUAUCUAUCUACAUCUACCUAUUUAAUCAUCUAUCUAAAAUUUCCUUCCAAGGUCCAGGAGGUUCUGCUGCAUCUGAGUUAGCAUCACAGAAGCCACUCAGAGCUGAGAGUUACAGGUAUUAGGAGGAGCUGCCAGGCUGCUGUGGUCACAGUUGGUGCAUUGGGCUCCUUGGCUCUGAGUGAAGGAUGUUGGGGGUGCAUGGUUCAUUUAGGGCCUCUGCUCUAUUUUGACAUCACUACUGUGGUUCUGAGCAAUGUGCUUCCCCUCCCUUCCUGGGAAAAAUGCCUGGGAUAUACUUCGGCAGCAGAAGCUGCCUUCAGUGUCUUAGGAACCUGAGAGCAGAGUAGCUGGCUCUAGCAAACAUGGCUGCUGUCUUGUUGGGGAUAUAGUUAGACAAUGAGGUAGUGGGAAGCAUUUCACACUAGUCAGCUUCUCCCUUUGCUGAAAGCUAGUUUUGCUUGUCAGUAUUUCCUUAUCCCCUGUUGCUACAGUUAGCAGUUACAGCUGCCAGCAUGGAUCAGGAUAAGUCCCUAGGGCCUGUCAGCAAGAGAAGCAAAGUCAGGGAGUGGGACCACAGGCACUACACAUGCAAGUCACCAGGGGUGACUCCUGUGUUAUGGUCUCUGAAAAAGGAGGGCCUGUGCCUGGAAACGCAGUACUGCUGAAGAGAGUAGACCUAAGGUUUUUUCACAAAGGAGCCUAGCCAUCUUGGACAGAGAGAGGAAAGGGGUGCUCCUAGCAGAGCCACAGACUGGUCCUUAGACUAGCAGCGAGCUCAGUGCUGAAGACGGUCGCUGUGGAGAACAGUCUCCAGCAAAGGGGAAGGGUCAGCUCAGGGCAGUCCUCAGACCAGCUGCACCUACCUACUGACUCAGCACGUUCCCCAUAUGUUUCCUCCCAGACACCUGAAAGAUGAAUACCAAGAAAGGGUGAUAUGGAAGAAACCGUCCCAGUGGCCACAAGAGAAGAUAGGAGUGGUCAGUAAUAUAAGAUAUACGUUAUAUAAGAUACAGCCACCUGUGAGCCUACAGUCUUUCUUCUUUAAGUCAUAGUUUCAGGGAAAUGCCAUACACAUCUUUCCCCACAUAAUGAGGUAUAUUCUUCAAUAUAUAGCUCAGAAAAAUGAAAACUAAAACCUAAUACCUCCUGUUCACCGCAGGUACAUGGUAGGCAUCGAUAGAGCUUGGUAAUCCCAGAACUUCAGUCCUUCACAGCCCACACACAUUCUCACGGCGGCUUUACACACAGCUGAUAGGGUGCGAGGCCUUGGAGUCCAGCAGGAGUAGCACACUGCUUUGUUGUCUGAGGCAUGGCUUCAGCACUUCAGAGUAUGAUCAUCUCUAAGCUCUCAAAAGAAAUGGACAUUGGUCUUUAUGAUUUAUUAAUCAUAAUUAAGGCGGGUUCUGACUACUGUCAAAGCUCACAACUCAAGCCUUCCCUUCCAGACAGAUGUGGUGAAGGAGUUCUGGGAACUGUCUAGCCUUGUUCUUUAUUCUUUUGCCUGUGUGGUUGGUUUGGCUCUCAACUGUUACACCUGUUUAGAACAUGAUACGGCUUUUCUUUCCCAUCUUAAACACCAAUUAAAAGUACCUGUUGCCAAAAAUGUCAGCAUUACUAAAUAACUAUCAAAAGUCUCUUGGUAGUGCUGGGCCUGGUGGCACACAUCUUUAAUCCCAGUAUCAGGGAGGCAGAGGAGUUCGAGGCCAGCCUGGUCUAUAUGCUGAGUUCUAGAACAGCCAGAGCUAUGUAGAGAAAUGCUGUCAAAAAAUGUCUUGAUGGUGGCUCAUGGCUCAUGCCCCCAGCAGUGCCAAGGUGGAGGCAGGGGCAUUCUAGGCUGGCCUGAACUUUGUAGCAAGACUUUGUCUUUAACAACCAGUUUUAAAAGCCUCCUAAAGUUUUAAUAAUGCAAUUUUUUUCUACAAGGUAGUUUAUGGCCCUUGAAUCUUCAAAUAUUAUAAAUUGAAGAAUGAAAGAAGACAGAGAAUUUCAAAAUAGCCCCUGGGUAGCUUUUUAAACUUAACUACAUCGUAUUCUUGCCGAUGGCCGAUGAACAACAGCUGAACAAAAUGACACCACCCCAGAGUCAUGUAACAGCUCCUCCUGCCCAGUGUCCCUGCUGGUGCCCCUCCUGGUAGCAGUUACUGCAAAGCAGCCAUUCCUAACCCUGUUAACCCCAGCCUCUCAGCAACUGAUCUCACUCCCCCCCCCCCCCCGUCUCCCAACCGCACUCCUUCUCUUGCCCAGGUCGGUUGCCUUCUCCCCUCUUGAUUUGUGCAUUACUUGAGCUAGCUGUCAUAGAUGGUGUUGCAUUUUUAAUAUGCUCAUAAGCUCUUCCCUUCAAACACUUUUUCUUAACUCUGGACACCUGCCUUUCACUGAAGUAUGCCCCCUACUCUACCUAUGAAUUCUCUUGUCUAUUGAAGCAGGGCUUUUAAAUCCUGGACACACAUGACGAUCAACUGGGAGUUUUAGAGGGAAUGAUGGUUCAGCAGGUGAAGGGCAUUUGUCACCAAGCCUGAUAAUUUGAGUUCUGCCCCUGGGACUCACAAGUGUCCGUCCUCUGCCCUGUACAGAUACGUCGUGGCACAUGUGCACAAUAAAUAUGACUUUCUUUUCAUUAAAGGCAAAACAGUUGUCAAGCAAACUUUAGGGAGAGUCCAUCCCAUAUUUACUAUCUUAUGCCUAUGUAUAAUUGUACCUUCUAACUAUAAUUCUCUCUAUAAAAGCUACUGAUUUUGUAUGCU
rnacentral:lncRNA from 1 species